GACAGAAGGUGCAAGCGUUACUCGGAAUUACUGGGCGUAAAGCGUCUGUAGGUGUCUUGCCACGUCUGGCCAUAAAUUGCGGGGCUUAACCCCGCAUCCUGGCUGGAAACGAGCGAGAUCGAGUCAUUCAGAGGCAUCUGGAAUGUCGUGUGUAGGGGUAAAAUCCGUAGAUACACGAUGGAACGCCGAAAGCGAAAGCAGGAUGCUGGGAAUGUACUGACACUCAGAGACGAAAGCGUGGGGAGCAAAGGGG
rnacentral:rRNA from 1 species